GCACAAGCGGUGGAUGAUGUGGUUAAUUCGAUGCAACGCGAAAACCUUACCACCUUUGACAUGUACGGAAGCCUUAGAGAUAGAGGCGUGCUCGAAAGAGAGCCGUAACACAGGUGCUGCAUGGCUGUCGUCAGCUCGUGUCGUGAGAUGUUGGGUUAAGUCCCGCAACGAGCGCAACCCUUGUCAUUAGUUGCUACAUUCAGUUGGGCACUCUAAUGAGACUGCCGGUGACAAGCCGGAGGAAGGUGGGGAUGACGUCAAGUCCUCAUGGCCCUUAUAGGUGGGGCUACACACGUCAUACAAUGGCUGGUACAAAGGGUUGCCAACCCGCGAGGGGGAGCUAAUCCCAUAAAGCCAGUCGUAGUCCGGAUCGUAGUCUGCAACUCGACUACGUGAAGUCGGAAUCGCUAGUAAUCGUGGAUCAGAAUGUCACGGUGAAUACGUUCCCGGGUCUU
rnacentral:rRNA from 1 species